rnacentral:rRNA from 1 species
UCAUUUAGAGGAAGUAAAAGCCGUAACAAGGUCUCCGUUGGUGAACCAGCGGAGGGAUCAUUACCGAGUUUACAACUCCCAAACCCCUGUGAACAUACCAAUUGUUGCCUCGGCGGAUCAGCCCGCUCCCGGUAAAACGGGACGGCCCGCCAGAGGACCCCUAAACUCUGUUUCUAUAUGUAACUUCUGAGUAAAACCAUAAAUAAAUCAAAACUUUCAACAACGGAUCUCUUGGUUCUGGCAUCGAUGAAGAACGCAGCAAAAUGCGAUAAGUAAUGUGAAUUGCAGAAUUCAGUGAAUCAUCGAAUCUUUGAACGCACAUUGCGCCCGCCAGUAUUCUGGCGGGCAUGCCUGUUCGAGCGUCAUUUCAACCCUCAAGCCCCCGGGUUUGGUGUUGGGGAUCGGCGAGCCUCACGGCAAGCCGGCCCCGAAAUACAGUGGCGGUCUCGCUGCAGCUUCCAUUGCGUAGUAGUAAAACCCUCGCAACUGGUACGCGGCGCGGCCAAGCCGUUAAACCCCCAACUUCUGAAUGUUGACCUCGGAUCAGGUAGGAAUACCCGCUGAACUUAAGCAUAUCAAUAAG